AUUAGCUAGUUGGUAAGGUAACGGCUUACCAAGGCGAUGAUGCAUAGCCGACCUGAGAGGGUGAUCGGCCACACUGGGACUGAGACACGGCCCAGACUCCUACGGGAGGCAGCAGUAGGGAAUCUUCGGCAAUGGGGGCAACCCUGACCGAGCAACGCCGCGUGAGUGAAGAAGGUUUUCGGAUCGUAAAGCUCUGUUGUAAGAGAAGAACGUGUGUGAGAGUGGAAAGUUCACACAGUGACGGUAACUUACCAGAAAGGGACGGCUAACUACGUGCCAGCAGCCGCGGUAAUACGUAGGUCCCGAGCGUUGUCCGGAUUUAUUGGGCGUAAAGCGAGCGCAGGCGGUUUAAUAAGUCUGAAGUUAAAGGCAGUGGCUUAACCAUUGUUCGCUUUGGAAACUGUUAGACUUGA
rnacentral:rRNA from 1 species